GCCUCCUGUAGCUCAGCGGUAGAGCGCCCCACUUACUCUUAAGUCUUAUUCUUAGGGGAGGGCCGCGGUUCGAAUUCGCGCAGAGGCA